CAGCCACCCGCGGUCAUACAAGAAACCCAAAUUAACGGUCCACGGCGUAAAGAGUGGUACCACACAUAUCAAAUGGCAACUAAGACCAAAAUGCAACUAAGCUGUCAUAAGCCUACGAUGCACAUAAGACCGCCCUCAAUACGAUCUUAGCCCUAUGAUCAACCCAACUCCACGAAAGCCAAGACACAAACUGGGAUUAGAUACCCCACUAUGCUUGGCCUUAAAUCUAGAUGUUUCUCCUACCAAAACAUCCGCCUGGGAACUACGAGCACAAACGCUUAAAACUCUAAGGACUUGGCGGUGCCCCAAACCCACCUAGAGGAGCCUGUUCUAUAAUCGAUAACCCACGUUACACCCGGCCGCUCCUUGCCAAACACAGCCUAUAUACCGCCGUCGCCAGCUCACCUCUGCUGAGAGUAUUAGAGUGAGCUUAAUAGCCCUCACCCGCUAACAAGACAGGUCGAGGUAUAGCUACGGAGAGGAAGAAAUGGGCUACAUUUUCUAAAAUAGAACACUCACGAAAGGGGGUGUGAAAUCACCCCUAGAAGGCGGAUUUAGCAGUAAAGCGAGACAAUAAUGCCCGCUUUAAGUCGGCUCUGGGGCACGUACAUACCGCCCGUCACCCUCCUCAAAAGCUCUAAAUCUCUAUAAAUUAAUAAGCCCAUCAGCUGAAGAUGAGGUAAGUCGUAACAAGGUAAGUGUACCGGAAGGUGUACUUAGCACAU
rnacentral:rRNA from 1 species